rnacentral:rRNA from 1 species
GAUGAACGCUGGCGGCGUGCCUAAUACAUGCAAGUCGAGCGAAUGGAUUAAGAGCUUGCUCUUAUGAAGUUAGCGGCGGACGGGUGAGUAACACGUGGGUAACCUGCCCAUAAGACUGGGAUAACUCCGGGAAACCGGGGCUAAUACCGGAAAACAUUUUGAACCGCAUGGUUCGAAAUUGAAAGGCGGCUUCGGCUGUCACUUAUGGAUGGACCCGCGUCGCAUUAGCUAGUUGGUGAGGUAACGGCUCAACAAGGCAACGAGGCGUAGCCGACCUGAGAGGGUGAUCGGCCACACUGGGACUGAGACACGGCCCAGACUCCUACGGGAGGCAGCAGUAGGGAAUCUUCCGCAAUGGACGAAAGUCUGACGGAGCAACGCCGCGUGAGUGAUGAAGGCUUUCGGGUCGUAAAACUCUGUUGUUAGGGAAGAACAAGUGCUAGUUGAAUAAGCUGGCACCUUGACGGUACCUAACCAGAAAGCCACGGCUAACUACGUGCCAGCCGCCGCGGUAA